rfam:Brassica oleracea var. oleracea cultivar TO1000 chromosome C4, whole genome shotgun sequence
GGAAAUUAAGAAAUUGUUUCUUAACUUUUAACUAAAAAAUCUAAGAACCGAUUCUUAAAUAAAAACUUUCAAAACCGGUUCUUAGCUUUUUUAUUUAAAAGUUAAGAAAGUUUCUUAACUUCC